AUUGAACGCUGGCGGCAUGCCUUACACAUGCAAGUCGAACGGUAACGGGCCUUCGGGUGCCGCCGAGUGGCGAACGGGUGAGUAAUACAUCGGAACGUGCCCGAUCGUGGGGGAUAACGAGGCGAAAGCUUUGCUAAUACCGCAUACGAUCUACGGAUGAAAGCAGGGGACCGCAAGGCCUUGCGCGGACGGAGCGGCCGAUGGCAGAUUAGGUAGUUGGUGGGAUAAAAGCUUACCAAGCCGACGAUCUGUAGCUGGUCUGAGAGGAUGAUCAGCCACACUGGGACUGAGACACGGCCCAGACUCCUACGGGAGGCAGCAGUGGGGAAUUUUGGACAAUGGGCGCAAGCCUGAUCCAGCCAUGCCGCGUGCAGGAUGAAGGCCUUCGGGCUGUAAACUGCUUUUGUACGGAACGAAAAGCCUUCUUUUAAUACAGGAGGGUCAUGACGGUACCGUAAGAAUAAGCACCGGCUAACUACGUG
rnacentral:rRNA from 1 species